rnacentral:rRNA from 1 species
UUAAAUUGAAGAGUUUGAUCAUGGCUCAGAUUGAACGCUGGCGGCAGGCUUAACACAUGCAAGUCGAACGGUAACAGGAAGCAGCUUGCUGCUUUGCUGACGAGUGGCGGACGGGUGAGUAAUGUCUGGGAAACUGCCUGAUGGAGGGGGAUAACUACUGGAAACGGUGGCUAAUACCGCAUAA